rnacentral:lncRNA from 1 species
GCAUAAGCCAAAGAAGGGCUGAACUUGUUUCCAUAAGAAAAGUGCAGAACAAAUUUCAAUCAGCUUGAUGUGCGCCCCGCAUGUUAAAAUACACACAUAAGAUUUCUCUUCCUCAUAUUAGUUCCAACGUGGCACCACAUGAUAGGCUAUAAUGCACUCAUUUUAUUCAUGUGGUCCCACCACAACAAGUGACCUUGACAUGAAGAAAGAGAGCACGUGAUUGGAGGAGGGGAAUUAGGUUUCACUUGUUUUGGAAUAUAAAAAGGAGGCAGCUGCAACAAAUACAAGGGACUUUUGGGAACCAGAGAGAAGAAGCAGCGCAUGACAAUGGGAAAGGAAGGCAACGACAAUUAAAGGGAUCCGGAUAGAGAACGACGAUGCAGGGUGACGUUGGUCUUGUCGGAAAAUUUCUAAUUUUCAUGUUGUUAGGGAUGAGAGUAUCUAGAUGACAACUUUUGUUAUAUGAUUUUCUUUUGAUUAUUGAAGAAGUUUAUUGAA